UACGUAGGGUGCAAGCGUUAAUCGGAAUUACUGGGCGUAAAGCGAGCGCAGGCGGUCGUGUAAGACAGAUGUGAAAUCCCAGGGCUCAACCUUGGAACUGCAUUUGUGACUGCACGGCUAGAGUGCGUCAGAGGGGGGUGGAACUCCACGUGUAGCAGUGAAAUGCGUAGAGAUGUGGAAGAACACCGAUGGCGAAGGCAGCCCCCUGGGAUGACACUGACGCUCAUGCUCGAAAGCGUGGGGAGCAAACAGG
rnacentral:misc_RNA from 1 species